CUUGCAACUAGUAAAUGAGUUAAGACAAGGGCAGAAGCACGGGGACCGGCUAGGAGGCUCUCGCACAAAUCCAGCUGAGACAGCCGGGCGGUGAGAGCCUGGGAAUAUUCUGACGGCGACCACGGUGUUUGCGGACGCAUUGGAUGUGGGGCGAUAGCAAAAGAGAAGGACUGGGGACCGAGGAAGGAUGACACUGCCAUGACCUCAGAAUGAAAAGAAGUCUCUCGGGAGGCGUGCCACCGUCCCUAUGAUUAUGUCUGUUGUUCCCGACGAGUCCUGAGCCCAGCGCUGAGGCCGCAGCAGGCCCGUCCCCUCCCCGCCCCGGCCGGAGCCAAGCCGGUCCUUCCGUCUGGUCCACGGAGCCCAGCGACUUCCUCGGAGCCUCGGCGGCCGUGGAGGCUAUCAUUCCAUCUCUCCCACCCACGGGAUCUUGGCUCCUCCUCAAGGCUCUUUCGCAUUUUCCCACAGUUCCCUUCCCGAAUCUUUUCCUGUCAGCGUCUCUGUUUUCUCCUCCCGUCCUCCGUAGGUUCUGUGAGAACUUGGCAGUCUUCUGUCGGGCUUGUUUUGUUGCUUAUGCUCCUCCCCCAUUCUAUUUCUAUGGCUUGUUACAUACUGAGAUUUGCUGUGCAUUUUUGUUCUGUCUGACUCUAAUCAAUAGGGCCCAGAAUGGCGUUUGUUUUUUUUUAACCUUCAUUAUGUUAUUUGUGGGUUUCUCAGUUUCAUUCAGAAAUCAAUUAUACAUCCCUAAUAAUGAAACUUAAUUUGGGCGAGUUUUGGUGAUUCUCUCCAUGCCAAGUCCACGGAGAAAACAUCAAACACAAAUUAAGCAACAUUCUACAAAUCAUCUCCCACUACUCUUCAAAAGUGUCACGGGCACGAAACUCAAGGAAAGACUGAGGAACUGUCACAGUUUAGAGGAGACAAAGGGGACGUGACAACUCAGUGAGAUGGGGGAUCCUGGGAGAG
rnacentral:lncRNA from 1 species